CCAGGGCAUUGGCUUGAGGUCUGCGGUGCUGACCAAGAGAGCAUUGGUUUCAGAUUGGGUACUUUUGGACUGAUUGUUCCAUUGACGCAUAUGUUUAUAGUAGCAGUCAUUGCAUGCAUACUUACAGAUCUUACUUUAUAGUUGUCUUGCUACUAUAGUAGAUAUUCAUGUAUGUUUUCUGUUCCAGUUACAGUAGUGGUAGCCAUUAUUCAGUCUAACUCCUGCUCUCUUUCAGUUUAUUGCUACUGUAUCUAGUAUAUCUGCUCAUUACCUUAUACAUCUCUUACGUUUACUACUGUUCCUACUAUAUUUUCACUGAUCCUUGUUGUUAUUUAGCUCUCCCUGAUCCGGUGAGUACUCCUCGCCUUCUUCGGCUUGCGGUACCCACUGGGAGGGGAGACAUGUUUACAUGUUCUCACCUCCCCCACCAUUUUUCAGGUAUCGCGGGCGUUGAGUAGUGGGACGAGACGUGAGGUACGUGUGUAGCGAUCGAUAGAGCUUCCGACCCAGGUUAUUUCGAUUUAGCUAUUACCCUUUUAUUUCUGUGGAUAUAUAUAGCUUAGUCGGUUUACAUGGUUCAGUUUUGUUUUAUAAUUUGAAUAUCUGAGUUUUCAGUUGGUUUUGGAAUGUAAUAAAGGAUUGUGUUUUCUUGAAAUAAAAGGUUUUCUACCCCUCGUGGUAGCGUUUCUUAAAGAUUAAAGGUUUCCGUGUGGGGAACAGUUUUCAAAAGAAUUUUCAUGAAUUUCUAUUUAAACACUGAAUGUAAAACUGUGAUGUGAAUGGUGAAUGCAUGAAUGUAUAGUUAUCUUUAUAUUCAUUUGGUUGUGGUUGUUUCCUGGCUAUACUCUUGUACUUGUGCGACGCCGUGCAAAUACAGGGGAGACUCUGUCCGUGUGAACAGUGGAUUCCCUAUAUUUGUGGCGGAUCUGGCUUACCCUGGGGUCAGUUUUGCA
rnacentral:lncRNA from 1 species